AGGACGAACGCUGGCGGCGUGCUUAACACAUGCAAGUCGAACGGUGAAGCCUUUCGGGGUGGAUCAGUGGCGAACGGGUGAGUAACACGUGAGUAAUCUGCCCUUGACUCUGGGAUAACUUCGGGAAACCGUGGCUAAUACCGGAUAUGACGCAUGGUCGCAUGGUCUGUGUGUGGAAAGAUUUAUUGGUCAGGGAUGAGCUCGCGGCCUAUCAGCUUGCGUGGGUGGGUAAUGGCCUACCGAAGGCGACGGACGGGUA
rnacentral:rRNA from 1 species